CUUCAACGAUACCUCUACAACGAGCUCCGGGUUGGAUCUAAUCAAAUCCAGUUCUAUGGGUUUGCUAGAUUGUAUCGGUUCUUCUACCUAUCGAAUCUCAUAAGUUCAACUUUAGAGGCAUCAGUUCCUUCACCAAAGAACUCUUUUUCUAAAAAGAAUGUCGAACAACUCUUAUUCUUCAGCAAGAUAGAAAUAAUAUAUUC
rnacentral:lncRNA from 1 species